rnacentral:rRNA from 1 species
CCAAACCGACACAGGUGGUCGGGUAGAGAAUACCAAGGCGCUUGAGAGAACUCGGGUGAAGGAACUAGGCAAAAUGGUACCGUAACUUCGGGAGAAGGUACGCUCUUGUCGGUGAAGUCCCUUGCGGAUGGAGCUAACGAGAGUCGCAGAUACCAGGUGGCUGCAACUGUUUAUUAAAAACACAGCACUGUGCAAAAUCGUAAGAUGACGUAUACGGUGUGACGCCUGCCCGGUGCCGGAAGGUUAAUUGAUGGGGUUAGACUUCGGUCGAAGCUCUUGAUCGAAGCCCCGGUAAACGGCGGCCGUAACUAUAACGGUCCUAAGGUAGCGAAAUUCCUUGUCGGGUAAGUUCCGACCUGCACGAAUGGCGUAAUGAUGGCCACGCUGUCUCCACCCGAGACUCAGUGAAAUUGAAAUCGCUGUGAAGAUGCAGUGUACCCGCGGCUAGACGGAAAGACCCCGUGAACCUUUACUACAGCUUGGCACUGAACAUUGACCCUACAUGUGUAGGAUAGGUGGGAGGCUUUGAAGACGGUACGCCAGUAUCGUUGGAGCCGUCCUUGAAAUACCACCCUUGUAGUGUUGAUGUUCUAACAURGGCCCCUUAUCGGGGUUGUGGACAGUGCCUGGUGGGUAGUUUGACUGGGGCGGUCUCCUCCCAAAGAGUAACGGAGGAGCACGAAGGUGGGCUAAACACGGUUGGACAUCGUGUGGUUAGUGCAAUGGCAUAAGCCCGCUUGACUGCGAGAAUGACAAUUCGAGCAGGUGCGAAAGCAGGUCAUAGUGAUCCGGUGGUUCUGUAUGGAAGGGCCAUCGCUCAACGGAUAAAAGGUACUCCGGGGAUAACAGGCUGAUACCGCCCAAGAGUUCAUAUCGACGGCGGUGUUUGGCACCUCGAUGUCGGCUCAUCACAUCCUGGGGCUGAAGUCGGUCCCAAGGGUAUGGCUGUUCGCCAUUUAAAGUGGUACGCGAGCUGGGUUUAGAACGUCGUGAGACAGUUCGGUCCCUAUCUGCCGUGGGCGUUGGAAGAUUGAAGGGGGCUGCUCCUAGUACGAGAGGACCGGAGUGGACGAACCUCUGGUGUUCGGGUUGUGUCGCCAGACGCAUUGCCCGGUAGCUAAGUUCGGAAUCGAUAACCGCUGAAAGCAUCUAAGCGGGAAGCGAGCCCUGAGAUGAGUCUUCCCUGACCCCUUGAGGGUCCUAAAGGGUUGUUCGAGACUAGAACGUUGAUAGGCAGGGUGUGUAAGYGUUGUGAGGCGUUGAGCUAACCUGUACUAAUUGCCCGUGAGGCUUAACCAUACAACACCCAAAGGGUUUUG